rnacentral:rRNA from 1 species
UACGGGGGGGGCCAGCGUUGUUCGGAAUUACUGGGCGUAAAGGGCGCGUAGGCGGCCUUCUAAGUCAGACGUGAAAUCCCUCGGCUCAACCGGGGAACUGCGUCUGAUACUGGAGGGCUUGAAUUCGGGAGAGGGAUGCGGAAUUCCAGGUGUAGCGGUGAAAUGCGUAGAUAUCUGGAGGAACACCGGUGGCGAAGGCGGCAUCCUGGACCGAUAUUGACGCUGAGGCGCGAAAGCCAGGGGAGCAAACGGG